rnacentral:rRNA from 1 species
AAGGGUGCGUAGGCGGAAUGGUAAGUCAGCGGUGAAAUACUGCAGCUCAACUGUAGUUGUGCCGUUGAUACUGUCAUUCUUGAGUAUAGAUGAGGUAGGCGGAAUGAGUAGUGUAGCGGUGAAAUGCAUAGAUAUUACUCAGAACACCGAUUGCGAAGGCAGCUUACUAAACUAUAACUGACGCUGAAGCACGAAAGCGUGGGUAUCAAACAGGAUUAGAUACCCUGGUAGUCCACGCUGUAAACGAUGAUUACUGGUUGUUUGGGCGAAAGAGCUCAAGCGACUGCGCGAAAGCAUUAAGUAAUCCACCUGGGGAGUACGUCGGCAACGAUGAAACUCAAAGGAAUUGACGGGGGCCCGCACAAGCGGUGGAACAUGUGGUUUAAUUCGAUGAUACGCGAGGAACCUUACCUGGGCUUAAAUGGGGAGUGACAGGGGUAGAAAUACCUUUUUCUUCGGACACUCUUCAAGGUGCUGCAUGGUUGUCGUCAGCUCGUGCCGUGAGGUGUCGGGUUAAGUCCCAUAACGAGCGCAACCCCUGUUGUCAGUUACCAGCACGUAGAGGUGGGGACUCUGGCAAGACUGCCGGUGUAAACCGCGAGGAAGGUGGGGAUGACGUCAAAUCAGCACGGCCCUUACGUCCAGGGCUACACACGUGUUACAAUGGCCGGUACAGCGGGCAGCGGCGCGGCGACGCGUAGCGAAUCCCGAAAGCCGGUCUCAGUUCGGAUUGAAGUCUGCAACCCGACUUCAUGAAGCUGGAAUCGCUAGUAAUCGCGCAUCAGCCAUGGCGCGGUGAAUACGUUCCCGGGCCUUGUACA